UGAGAGGUGGUGCAUGGCCGUCGUCAGUUCGUACUGUGAAGCAUCCUGUUAAGUCAGGCAACGAGCGAGACCCACGCCCACAGUUGCCAGCGUACUCUCUGGAGUGACGGGUACACUGUGGGGACCGCCGCUGCUAAAGCGGAGGAAGGAAUGGGCAACGGUAGGUCAGUAUGCCCCGAAUAUCCCGGGCUACACGCGAGCUACAAUGGUUGGUACAAUGGGUAUCUACCCCGAAAGGGGACGGGAAUCUCCUAAACCAAUCUUAGUUCGGAUUGAGGGCUGCAACUCGCCCUCAUGAAGCUGGAAUCCGUAGUAAUCGCGUUUCAACAGAACGCGGUGAAUACGUCCCUGCUCCUU
rnacentral:rRNA from 1 species